GGCUGGGUCUGACCUGUUGUGUCUUCAGGAGAUCCUGAGCUUCCGGCGUCCUCCCAAGUCACAGGUUGGCUGAUCUCCUCCGGUGGGCUUUAAACUAGGCACAUCGGGGGAAGGGGAUGAAGAGGACCAAGGGAGCCACAGAACACCGAACCAAGAGACACCUACAAGAAUAGCCCAGCCAAGUCAGGGGACGAGCACAACAAAUACCCAGGAAGCAACUGUGACCACCUGAAACCUGAGAUCCUGCUCCUGUCUUUGUUUCAAGGCAAUAUGCAUCAUCACAGAUCCUCACAGGAGGUGAGAGGCUUCAUACCAGCUAUGAACUGACUGCCCAGAGGAGUUUUCCAUCUAUUGACUCCUCUGUGAAAUCCUAUGAAAUAUGAACUUUCAUUUCUACCCAGGAGA